GUGCCUUUUGUAGAAUGAACCGGCGAGUUACGAUUUGAUGCAAGGUUAAGCAGUAAAUGUGGAGCCGUAGCGAAAGCGAGUCUGAAUAGGGCGUUUAGUAUUUGGUCGUAGACCCGAAACCAGGUGAUCUACCCUUGGUCAGGUUGAAGUUCAGGUAACACUGAAUGGAGGACCGAACCGACUUACGUUGAAAAGUGAGCGGAUGAACUGAGGGUAGCGGAGAAAUUCCAAUCGAACCUGGAGAUAGCUGGUUCUCUCCGAAAUAGCUUUAGGGCUAGCCUCAAGUGAUGAUUAUUGGAGGUAGAGCACUGUUUGGACGAGGGGCCCCUCUCGGGUUACCGAAUUCAGACAAACUCCGAAUGCCAAUUAAUUUAACUUGGGAGUCAGAACAUGGGUGAUAAGGUCCGUGUUCGAAAGGGAAACAGCCCAGACCACCAGCUAAGGUCCCAAAAUAUAUGUUAAGUGGAAAAGGAUGUGGCGUUGCCCAGACAACUAGGAUGUUGGCUUAGAAGCAGCCAUCAUUUAAAGAGUGCGUAAUAGCUCACUAGUCGAGUGACACUGCGCCGAAAAUGUACCGGGGCUAAACAUAUUACCGAAGCUGUGGAUUGUCCUUUGGACAAUGGUAGGAGAGCGUUCUAAGGGCGUUGA
rnacentral:rRNA from 1 species